rnacentral:rRNA from 1 species
CAGUAGCCGCGGUAAUACGGAGGGUGCAUGCGUUAAUCGGAAUUACUGGGCGUAAAGCGUGCGUAGGCGGUUCGUUAAGUCUGUUGUGAAAGCCCCGGGCUCAACCUGGGAAUGGCAAUGGAUACUGGCGAGCUAGAGUGUGUCAGAGGAUGGUGGAAUUCCCGGUGUAGCGGCGAAAUGCGUAGAGAUCGGGAGGAACAUCAGUGGCGAAGGCGGCCAUCUGGGACAACACUGACGCUGAGGCACGAAAGCGUGGGGAGCAAACAGGAUUAGAUACCCCCGUAGUCCCUGUCUCUUAUAC